CUGGAAUACAGCAGUCAUUGUCUAAAAGUAUCCUGUUUUGCUAAUCUGCCCUUUUCCUGGUCCUUUAGCUAGAGAGAGCAGGCUUUUGUUGGGGCUUUUUUUUUUGUUUUUUUUUUUUCCUGUGCCUGGGUUUCUGCCUUCUUCAGCUCCAAGACAGGGAUAUAUGAGAGAAGAAGAUAACCCAGCGAACUCACCGCUGUUUUUUCCUUAGCCCGUCAUGUCCCCAGCUGGUCUGCCUUCUUCUCCAUCUUUCAGAGUCUUCUUAUAUUUGUUUUGUAGAUAAUGUGCAUGGUCUUUAGUUGUACUUAGAGGGUGGAAAAGUGGAUGACUUAGGGAAAAGUGGAUGACUCUAUCUUCCUGGAAGCAGAAGUCCUAGUGGAGCACAGUGGCAUGAUCAUAGCUCACUGCAGCCUCAACCUCCUGGGCUCAAGGGAUCCUCCCACCUCAGCCUCCUAAGUUGCUGGGACUACAGGCAUGUACCACCACAUCUGGCUAAUGCUGUGUUUUUAUAGAUGAGAAGAAAAGUAACCAGAGAGGUACAUGUAAAGGAACCAAGAUUUUUCUAGCCUGGAGCCUUGCUGUGGCCUUGAAGAGGGCGGACACCACCUAGCCUUGGAGCACUACCUGAAUCCUUGCUUCCCCUGAUUAAAAAAAGAAGAAAGAAAGAAAGAAAGAAAGAAGAAAGAAAGAAAGAAAGAAAGAAAGAAAGAAAGAAAGAAAGAAAGAAAGAAAGAAAGAAAAAGCAGGUCCUAUAUUUGUAACUAACCUGGCAGAAGGAGUCACAGUACUGUGAGAAGGGGAGGGUGAUACUGCCUUUGCACCACCAAGAAACCUGAAGAUCUGUUUCAUAAAGCAGUUAUAACCUGUGACAAAUUCUUAAUAUUAGCCUCACUUCCCCAUUCUUUUGAAACGCACUUGAAAAGGGGGUUAGGGAGUAGUGGAGGGAUCCCGGGAUUUGGGUUAGAGUUCUCUCUUCUACUCCUACAGGGACAAGACACAGAUCCCUUCUGAGCUCCGAGUUUUACCUUUACAAGGAGAAGGCUGGCUGAGAUGCCUCUGGGGCUGCCUCCAGCUUCAGGGACCUGUUGUCCUGCUGUGGUUAGAAGAACCCAGCAGCCCACACCAUUGCUGUGUGGCUCCACAAAGCCACACGGCCUCCUCCAUGCCCUGGUCCACAGGGCCUCACCCACAGAGCCCAUACCUGCUCUCACCUCUAACCCCAGGGCACAUCAAACCUACCUGUUGACAAAAUUACAACCCAUUUAGCUGUAGGUCUCAUUGGCUUUUAUGCAUGAUUCAUGAACCAGGGCAGCCUCCCUUCUAUUAAACAGAAUGAGAGAUCUCACUGGGCAAGAGCAGAACAGUGGGUUUGGUAAGGUGGGAACAGGGAAACAAGAAAAAAGCUGACUGGUUAGCAUGAGGAUACUUGUUUUGGAAGGUUUGGAGAACGUAACUUCCUUAUUAUGCUGACUCAGUAGACUGGAAUCUCCUGUUUUCAGGAAAAACUGGUCUGUUUUGGGCCCUAUUUGCUUCCUUCAAGUUUCAGUUUGAUGAUGUGACAUUUGGCAUGAGUGAUUCCAUUUUGAUUUGGCCUGGUCUGUUGGGGCCUAGGGCAGGAGUUCAGUCUGAAGCGGUGGACUCUCAUCAUCUUUGUUUAAUGCCAGGUUUCUCUAACCCAUUUUCAGAGGUGGAAUCACAGCCUUUGAAGGGACCAGAGGGGUACUGGGUGAUCUUGGAGCACAGGAAGCAUAUUCCUGGUGUCUCAGGGCCCGGUGACUUUCAUGGAGCCCUCCGGGCCCCAGUGGGCUGCGCACUGAUGGAUGAAGUGUUUCUGACAGGGCCCACGUCCAGUCAGUGCAUUCGCAGCUCCCACCGCCGCAGGGCCUGGGUCCCGGCCUCUGGCCAGUGUGCCUGUGCGUGACACAUUGCAGCCGCGUUUUCCAAGUGAGUUCAGUGGUACUGACAGGAUCCACAUUUCCAGUCCGCAGCCAGCCACACACACAAUAUUAUCUGUGAAUGGAAACCGUCACUGUAGAUUUCUGCUUGGGUUUUGGCAGCUGCCCCUGAUGGGAGAGUGCAUGUCACAGACCUAACUGAAGUCAGAGUCCCCUCUGCACAGACAGCAGGGCUUGGACAGACCAUGAGUAAUGAGCCACGUUCUCAAAGCUCCCGGGAGUCUGCACUUCCUGCAGAGAGACAUUCUGGUGAGGAAUCAGCAACGCUUUCCAUGGGGGCAGUUUUACCAAGCCUGUCAUGGAGACAGGGCUGUGUAGGCUGGACUAGAAGGGUGCUGGGAUUGUGGAAGUGUCUGGAUGGUUCUGGAAAAAUCUAGUAGCCAUAUAAAAGGAAAAAAAAAAAAAGGUAGGGUGUGGGAGUGGCAAUGUGGAAUUUCUUGGAAAUAAAGAGAAAGAAAAUAACAAGCCUGUUCUCUUGGCCUUGACCUCUCGCUGUACCCCAGGCUACCGACUAGACUGCUCCACCGGCUCUCUGAUGUCACCUCAGACUCAACUUAUCCAAAACUGAGGUCAUCCUCCCCCAGACUGGCUCCUUGUCCUAAUUCUGUCAGCAAAACCACAUUUCCAGACACCCAGAGCCUGCCUUUGGGGAAGCCUUUGGUUUUUUUUUCCUUCCUAUUGAAUCUGUCCCCAGCCCUGUUGGUGAUUAUUGGUCUCCGGGUGUCUCUUUCUCUGACCUUUCCGAGUCAUGAUUUCAAAGUCAUUGCUCACAAAAGUGAACAGAAUUAAAGUAACCAUAAAAGAAAAGGAAUUUCAAAAAGGAGAACUAAACCCAAAAUUGGAAUAAACUGGAGGAUGCCCCAUUGCUUCAUCCUGCAGACACCAGCCCAGCCCAGGACAGCACCUACACGUCAGCGCCGGUGCCUCCUGAGCCACGGCUGAGCCAAAGCCCACAGUCCACAUCGUCUCUCAGGCUUGGAGCCCGCCUGCAGCCUGCCACGUCGAGUCCCAUGUUUUGUGGCCACCUUCUGUGCACAAGCCCCUGACCCAACCUUUCCUGCCGUUCACCAUGCCUCAUUAUUAUGCUCUCCUCCAUCCUCCCACCUGCCUCCUGAAAUGCCCUUCCUUUGAGCUGAACUCUGUGAGUCUCUCAAAGCCCAGCUCAGCUGUGCAACUUCCGACUCGUGUGGCUCUUCCUGACUUGCUCCUGCUCUGAGAGUCUGUCGCACCCACAGCAAGGACAUGGCCAUGGUUACAAGCUCAGGCCCCAGAACCAGAAGUCACCUGUAUGCAGUAGCUGUGCGGUUUGGGCCAAGUCACUUAACACUUCAGAGCCUUCAUUGUCUUAUCUGUAAAAUGGGACUAAUCAUAGUCCCCCAGACUUGUAAGGCUGUAGAGAGAAUUGAAUAGGAUAUUGCUCACAAUGUGCUUAGUAUAGUGCCUGGCAAUGAAUUAAGAAUCAUUCAACAAAUUCUUGUUGUUGCUCUACUACUUUUUCUUAUUCUCCCAUUUGAGCUUUUUCCUAUUUGUCUGCUUUAAUUUGUCUGCUUAAUUACAUUAAGGCC
rnacentral:lncRNA from 10 species